UAACUUAAUACUUGAUUUGUUUUUGAGGUAGACUUUUAAAGUGUUUGGAAUAACAAUCAACCUGUCCUUGGGGUCUGACCUGGACAGAAGAUCACGAUCAUUGUGCAUCUUUUCAGCUUUGUUUUAGAGGAAAAGGGAAUCGGAGUAAUAUUACUGAUGAGUAAAUGUUGACAUCAAGAAUAAAAAAAAUACAAAUUUGUUGAAUUCUAUGCAGACACUUUCUUAGUAAAGUGAUCUAAAAGAUAGUGCAGACAUUGUGGUUUUUGGUUUUCUUACCAUCAUUUCUAGUUUCCAUUCUUUCUUCAGUAACACAUUUUAAUUACCAUUGUUAUUCUGAAUAAUAGCCAUAAAUAUUAAAUGCUUAACAUUUUUCACCGUGUUUUUUUUUUUUUUUUUUUUUUUUUUAAAGGGAUGUGAAACCAGAUUGUCUUAUAUUUGUUAGUUUAACAAUAACAUUUUAUUUAUUUCUUUAUUUUUUGGAAAUUAUGAACAUUGCGUUUUCCAGAUUACAUAUGCAUUCUCAAAUAUGUAUGAUUGGGCCCACUGGCUGAAAAGUAUCAGUAAAAUUAAUAGAAAGAAACAAAUGUAAGGCUACUUCUACCAUCACUGAUAAUUACAGUAAUAUGCAUUACUGUGUUCUGAACAUAUAUUUACCAUUCAAAAAUAUCAUGAUCAGUGGUUGCCUCUGCUUUGUUGUAGACCUAGACAAACUCACCCUUGCAGGGUAUUCAUUUGGACCAUUUUUAUUUUGUUUUUGUAUGUGUCUGACUAUGGCAAUUAUUUCUGCAGAUUAUUUCAGUCUAAAUUACAACCAAAUGUUUAUAUUUUUAAACAUCCAGAAUAUACUAGUUCAGAAAAUGUAACCAUUGGAUUACUGAUAUGCAGCGCACAAAUUUGCCUGUCUCUGCAUUUUCAGUACUUGUCUCUCCAGACUCACUAGCAAAGUGCUUAUUCGCACCUGCUUAUUUGUACAGUAUAUUUUAUAUCCAUACCACCACUACCUUAAUAGCUGCAUUUCGCCUUUUUGUAAGUGUCCAAAUCUUGCACGUCUAGUCUUUAGGGGAACUAUAUACAUUGCUAUACGUGUUAAAUGCCAAUAAAGUGAACAUGAUCAUCAAACUGAAUACAAUUCAGUUUAUCACCACCAUUUAUUGUAUAAGAAACAUACUGAACUCUAGCAGAAAGGAGAAGAAAAAAAAAAGUUGUUUGGGGUCUUUCCAGUUCAAGGUCAAGUUCUCAAAGGUUUCAUCAUAAAGCUUAUGACCACAUAGUUUAGCAAACUACACACUGGACAAAAUGUUAAUUAAAACAGGCGUGACUUCCCUUUUUCUGAAAAAUAAAACAUAUAAAUAACAUUGAGGUUUUUUUAAGAACCUUUAAGAACCAGGGAGCUCUUGAAAAUGAAACAAUAUACUCACUACACACAGAGGCAGAGAGCUCCCUGGAUGGUUUCACUGUCUCGAAUAAGAUGGCAAGUGCAGUGAAGAAGGCCUUUCCAGCUGUUACACUCAUCAGGUUUGGGAUGUCCAAAAAGGAAAUGUCACAUGCAAGAACAACAAUGGCUCCCCAGAUACUGAAAGCAUCAGAUCCAGUGUGACACAUGUGAGAGGUGAUUCCACGAACAGUGCCUGGACAUGGACACUGAGGACCUGGAACAGGUCAGGGCAGACAGCUGGAAUUGCAGCUUGUGCUCUUAAAUCCAUCGACCUGUAAAUGAAAAUGCCAUUACAAAUUUUAUAGGGCUUUAAUUUUACAAUUCAACAUCAGACAGUCCUGACAUUGUGUGAGUGACACUCUGAGGUGGUGUACUAUCAUUCUGAAGUGUAACUGUUCUUUGGAAACAGGAAGUUUCUUAAUGACAGUCUGUGAUUUUGGUGCUUAAAAAUCAGAUGGUCUUUGGAAAUGUAUUCUUUAUUAUACAUUUUUUAUUAAAGCAACACUAUGUAACUUUUGGCCCUCUAGCGGUUAAAAAAUAAAAGUGCAUGUGUCUUGCGGAAGGACAUUGUUUUGGUUGUGCUUCGGCUCUGCUCCUCUGUGCGGAUGAAUGUGGUUCGAGGCAUUAGUGUACACAUGAAUACAGGACAUCUUAUCAGAGCGAAUUGAAAAAUAAGAAAGAAAGGAAAAGACAGAUAUCUGUCAUGUCAUCUGAGCAGGUAAGUGCCAUAACUUAUGCUGUUGUUUUGACUUAUUGGAAACACUGAUGUUUUGAAAUAAAUUAUGUUACAAAAGUUAGGCAAUGUUUGUUAACAUUAGACAUAACGAUUGAUAGUCUGAUAAGGUCAAACUUUGUAAAGUUUUUAUAACUGCAGGAUAUUCUGGCCAAAUAGACCACGGUAGUAACUAAUUUAUAGAUUGUCAUUGUUACCAACCAGUAGUCAACAUCAUUUCAAGACUCACAUGUCCUUGGCAAGCCUAGGACUAAAGGAUUUAUUUAUAAAAAUUAUUGCCAUUAUAAAGAAAAAUACACAUGUGUGCUAGCAAGUGAAAAGUUCUGUACCAAUUGCAGUAUAAUUAUUGUAUUUCACUACAAACACAUACACAGACUAUGUUUGCUAUGUGUGUGUGUGUGUGUGUGAUUACACAACUACACAUAAACCAUAUCAAUAAAAUAGCUUACCUGUCGAGUAAGAAAAAAAGUCAUCUCUGGGUCGCUUUUAAAUCCUUUCAAAUCUUGGAGUUGUCGCCACCUCUGAAAAGCCAAGCUGAUGUUGAUUCAGGCUUUAUUACUGACUCUGUUGCUUUCCCUUUUUGCUCGUAGACUCUGCACUGUUCGGGGUUUCUUUGUUUUUACAAAGUGAUUCACUGGAGGUUUGCUGUUUUGAAUGAUCCAUUGUCAAUUUUUCUCAUUCGUUGUGACAACAAACUUUCAGCUUCAGCUAAUCCCACACGUGCGCUACAGUAGCCGGAUCUUAUUUUCUCUGUGUACGGAUAUGACGUAUGAAUGCAAUUUCCCAUGAAAUCCGUCCCGAAAGCUCUAAAAUAUUUAUAAUAUAAUAUAAUUAUUAUAGGUUUAUCAAAGUGAAUUUGGUUAAAGUAAAUACAUGGUUUGGAAGAUGGAUUUUUGUAGCACUCUCUCAUUAAUAACAUUUUGUUAUUUAAAAAAAUAAAAAAUUACAUAGUGUUGCUUUAAAUUUGCAGGCGUUAUUUUUUUAUUAAAAUAGUUUAUUUUUUGUUUAAUAUUUAUUCAUUUUGUUUUAUGUAGUUAUUUAUGUAUCUUUAUUCAUUCAUUUAUUUUUUCAUUAAUUCAUUAUUGACAGACUGAUGCUUUAAUUUUGAAAUCAGAUCUUACAUGCUCUUACCAAAAUGCAUAGUGUAUACACAUACCGCAAAACAGUGUGGAGGCUGGCCUUCCUGUUUGUGAUGAACCCUGGCAACGUUUAAUUAAAGAUAGUUCAUCAUCAAUACAUUAAUAAUGAAUGAUUCGAGCAUUAAACUAUCAAUUACUAAUUCAGUGAUUAGUCCUAACUUUCUACUUGUGACACUACUGCAAAUGCUGUUAUUUUUUACAGAGUGUGGUUAAAGUCAUUGCAUAAGUGGAUGUCAAUCUCCAUGCUCUUCAAAUAUGAUUAGCAGUGGAAGUAAAGGAAGUGUCCCGUCUGUUACCUGCCUAAUGGAGAGGGCAGGGAUAAUCACCUCUGCCCAAGACGUUUAAAAAUCCAGUAGGGUAUGGAGUUAUAUGUGUGCCAUUUUGCACACGCAAUAUAUUUUGAGAGCACAAAAAUAUUCUGUGUGUGCAAGGUGAUAUUUUGAGUGCAUUAAAAGGUAUUUUUCACACACGUGAACUAAGUUUUGUAAAGCAGUGUAUCUUCUUGCAAAGCUGAAUUCACUUUAAGCAAACAAAAAUCAAAUUUGCACUUCAAUAAAGUUUAUUUGAAUGUGAAUUUGCACAGAAUUUUGAAAUUUAUUUAACUCCACUCUUUUUUGCAUGUGCAAGAUCUCACUUGCUCUCUCCUCAUACCCACUCUGUGUGCACUCAUAGCUUUGACUGCUUGUUUGAUCAACAAGGUCACAGCAUUAUAAUGUGCCAGAAUUUCAGCCAAUCAGAGAUGAGGUGGUACAUUUUGAUCGGCUGGCUAGAUAACAGAUCAAACUGCUAAUAAAACCAAGAAGGAAAUGUGUAACACACUAUGACCACACAAAAGCAGAACUUUUGUAGACUAAACUGUUUUAAUUUAACCUUUAUGAAAUACAUUUCUUAGUCUGUAUACUGCCAAUAGGCUUACUAGCUAGCUAACUAUACGUCAAGUUCUCUUAGUUCAGUCUUUAUUAGUAUUUGGUUCUCUUGGCUUGUUGGUUAUCAAGUUACACUUUCAUAGCUACUAGCUUGGCCAUGUUAGCUACCACUUAUCUGAAAUUAUAUAAUCUCUCCCAUGUGUAAAACUACUGUACAUUGUAAAAUGUAAUAGUGUAGUUUUGGGGAAACUUAAUUUGACUUCUAUCUAUCCCACAGGAUAUUCUGAGAGAGCAGUUUAUUAAAAAAUAAAUAAGUAAAUAAAAGACCGGAUUACAGUCUACCAUGG